UCGAUCACGGGAGACACACUGCGGGUGCUAAGGUCCGCAGUGGAAAGGGAAACAGCCCAGACCGCCAACUAAGGUCCCAAAGUCAUAGCUAAGUGGGAAACGAAGUGGGAAGGCCCAGACAGCCAGGAGGUUGGCUUAGAAGCAGCCACCCUUUAAAGAAAGCGUAAUAGCUCACUGGUCGAGUCGGCCUGCACGUAAGAUUUAACGGGGCUAAGCUAUGCACUGAAGUUGCGGAAUAUAUUUAGUAUAUUGGUAGGGGAGCGUUCUGUAAGCCGAUGAAGGUGAAUUGAGAAGUUUGCUGGAGGUAUCAGAAGUGCGAAUGCUGACAUGAGUAACGUAAAAUAAGUGAGAUUCUUAUUGGCCGAAAACCCAAGGGUUCCUACGCAAUGUUAAUCAACGUAGGGUAAGCCGGCCCCUAAGGCGUAGCUGAAGAGUGAAGUCGAUGGGAAACAGGUUAAUAUUCCUGUGCUGCUUAUAUGAACGAAGGAGGGACGGAGAAGGUUAGGUAGGCCUGGCGAAUGGUUGUCCAGGUGAAAGUAUGUAGGUAGGAAUGCUAGGCAAAUCCGGUGUUCUGUUGAUCUGAGAUACGAGACGAAGUUAAACUUGUUUGACGAAGCUAUUGAUACCAUGCUUCCAGGAAAAGCUUCUAAGUAUAUUGUAUAAGUGACCGUACUGUAAACCGACACUGGUGGGUAGGUAGAGAAUACUAAGGCUAUGAGAUAACUCUGGUGAAGGAACUAGGCAAAAUGACACCGUAACUUUGGAAGAAGGUGUGCCCUUGAUGGUGAUGAGACUUGCUCUUUGAGCUGUUGGGGGUUGCAGAUACCAGGUGGCUGCGACUGUUUAUCAAAAACACAGCACUCUGCGAAAUCGUAAGAUGAAGUAUAGGGUGUGACGCCUGCCCGGUGCUGGAAGGUUAAUUGAAGGGGUUAGCGCAAGCGAAGCUCUGGAUCGAAGCCCCAGUAAACGGCGGCCGUAACUAUAACGGUCCUAAGGUAGCGAAAUUCCUUGUCGGGUAAGUUCCGACCUGCACGAAUGGCGUAACGAUGGCCACACUGUCUCCACCAGAGACUCAGUGAAAUUGAAAUCGCUGUGAAGAUGCAGUGUACCCGCGGUUAGACGGACAGACCCCGUGAACCUUUACUAUAGCUUUGCACUGGACUUUGAAUAUUUAUGUGUAGGAUAGGUGGGAGACCAUGAAGCAGCUACGCCAGUAGUUGUGGAGUCGUCCUUGAAAUACCACCCUUGAAUAUUUGAAGUUCUAACUCAGGAGAGAUUCGAGGACAGUGUAUGGUGGGUAGUUUGACUGGGGCGGUCUCCUCCUAAAGAGUAACGGAGGAGUACGAAGGUGCACUCGGUACGGUCGGAAAUCGUGCCAAGAGUAUAAAGGCAAAAGUGCGCUUGACUGCGAGAGUGACGGCUCGAGCAGGUACGAAAGUAGGUCUUAGUGAUCCGGUGGUCCCGAAUGGAAGGGUCAUCGCUCAACGGAUAAAAGGUACUCCGGGGAUAACAGGCUAAUUCCUCCCAAGAGUUCAUAUCGACGGAGGAGUUUGGCACCUCGAUGUCGGCUCAUCACAUCCUGGGGCUGAAGUAGGUCCCAAGGGUAUGGCUGUUCGCCAUUUAAAGUGGUACGCGAGCUGGGUUCAGAACGUCGUGAGACAGUUCGGUCCCUAUCUGCCGUGGGCGUUAGAGAUUUGAGAAGAGUUGCUCCUAGUACGAGAGGACCGGAGUGAACGAACCACUGGCGUUCCGGUUGUUUCGCCAGAAGCAUUGCCGGGUAGCUACGUUUGGACGGGAUAAACGCUGAAAGCAUCUAAGCGUGAAGCCUCCUUCAAGAUUAGAUCUCUCUGAUGAAAAUCAGUAAGGAACGUUGGAGACUACGACGUUGAUAGGCUGGGUGUGGAAGUACAGCAAUGUAUGAAGCUUACCAGUACUAAUGAUCCGAGAGACUUAAGUCUAU
rnacentral:rRNA from 1 species